CUCUCUCAUCACUUAAUUAAAACAUUUUAUACUUUUUAGUAUUAGUGACAGAACAAUUAAUAAGCGCAAUA
rnacentral:tRNA from 1 species